CCUACGGGAGGCUGCAGUGGGGAAUAUUGCACAAUGGGGGAAACGCUGAUGCAGCGACGCCGCGUGAGUGAAGAAGUUUCUCGGUAUGUAAAGCUCUAUCAGCAGGGAAGAAAAGGACGGUACGUGAGUAAGAAGCACCGGCUAACUACGUGCCAGCCGCCGCGGUAAUACGUAAGGAGCAGGCGUUAUCCGGAUUUAAUGGGUGUAAAGGGGGCGUAGACGGGGGCACAAGUCUGGAGUGAAAUGCCGGGGCUUAACCCCGGAACUGCCUUGGAAACUGUGCAGCUAGAGUGCAGGAGAGGUAAGUGGAAUUCCUGGUGUAGCGGUGAAAUGCGUAGAUAUUAGGAGGAACACCAGUGGCGAAGGCGGCUUACUGGACUCUAACUGACGUUGAGGCUCGAAAGCGUGGGGAGCGAACAGGAUUAGAUACCCUGGUAGUC
rnacentral:rRNA from 1 species